AAAGGAGGGCAAAUAAUCAGUGGAAGCACAGCAGACGACUGAACAGCUUCUUUUGAUUCUUCAGGAAAGAUUAACCCCUUCAGCAGCACAGACUCAGCUUGAGGCUUUGCUGAGCAGCUGCAGACAGUGAAGAGACAAAUGCUGGGCACAGGAGCUAACGGACUGAAGGAGUUCUGCAGAGCAUUGCACAAAAACAGUCAGAACAAGAAUAUGGCUUCUCUCCUGUAUGAGUUCUAUGAUGGCCCAGAAGCUUGGAUUUUUGAGCAAAACAUUUCCCGCAAUCAGGACACUGAUGUGGUCUCUCU